CGGACUGGCGGCGUGCCUAAUACAUGCAAGUCGAGCGCGGGAAGCGGACAAUCACCCUUCGGGGUGUGCGUCCGUGGAACGAGCGGCGGAUGGGUGAGUAUCACGUGGGCAACCUGCCUGUAAGAUUGGGAUAACUCGCGGAAACGUGAGCUAAUACCGAAUGAAGUCUUUCACCGCCUGGUGAAAGGAUGAAAGAUGGCUCUUGAGCUAUCACUUACAGAUGGGCCCGCGGCGCAUUAGCUAGUUGGUGGGGUAAAGGCCUACCAAGGCGACGAUGCGUAGCCGACCUGAGAGGGUGAUCGGCCACACUGGGACUGAGACACGGCCCAGACUCCUACGGGAGGCAGCAGUAGGGAAUCUUCCGCAAUGGACGAAAGUCUGACGGAGCAACGCCGCGUGAGUGAAUGAAGGUCUUCGGAUCGUAAAAACUCUGUUGUCAGGGAAGAACAAGUUGUGUUCUAACAGGACAUGACCUUGACGGUACCUGACCAGAAAGCCCCGGCUAACUACGUGCCAGCAGCAGC
rnacentral:rRNA from 1 species